GGUUGUGGCUCAAGUGGUAGAGCGCUCGCCUGGCAUGCGUGAGGCACUGGGUUCGAUCCUCUGCACCA
rnacentral:tRNA from 1 species